CUGCUGGUUGACAGAUUUUCAAACUGUCAACAUCAAACAAUACCCAAUUAAUAAUUGGGUUCCAAGCCCAAAGUCCAACUCAUACUCCAAAGGCCCAAAAGUCCAACUAUGGCACAAAGCCAAAUUUUCCAACUUGGGCCCAAGCCUUUACGUGGCCUUAUACUAAAGGCCCAACCAUUUAGUCCAGUCUAAACAUUUGGCAUUUCUAAUGGCCCAAUAUCUCAUAAUCAUAAAGGCCUAAUUAUGGCCUGGUAUGGCCCAAUUUUUCAAACUGGGCUCAAGUCCUCACAUUGGCCUUAUCCUAAAACCCAUCUAAUUACUUUGGUCCAUUAGCUUGUUCUUGGAUGGCCCACCGAUAGUCCAAUCGCCAAAGCCCAAUAGGAAGGCCUAAUUCAAAGGCCGAGUGAGAUUAGGGCUUUUACAUGAAAUGAUAAUUAGGAUUAAGUGUUUCUUACUUAUCCCAUUAAGGACUUAAUCCAUUAAAGAAUAAUCCAUUAAGUCCCUCACUUUACUAAAAAGUCAUAUGGUGUAAUCGGGCUUAAUACACAAUUCUACUCCAAUGGCCCAAAUGUGGGUCCCGAUAAGUCCAAGUCCAUAAUCUCAAAAUUAGGGUUUUAUCGUCAUUAGGGUUUCCAACCCAAAUACUAGUCCAUUUAUCAAUUUGUUGGGCUUUUAGGUCCAAUAAGGCUUUAUUAGGCUUAUUAGACCCACUAGAAUAUCAUUAAGCCCAUUAGCAUUUUAUUGGGCCUAUUAGGGAUUACAAAGCCCAUUAGGGUUUUAAGCACCCCAAACGAAUCUAACUCAACGAGGUAAACACACCGCCACCCGACACGGCGGCCGGUGGCGGCAGGAGGCGGCNCCCUAAGGUGGUGGUUUUCAAUUUCUUUUCAUUAUUUUUCUUUCUGGUUACAUUUUACAAUGCUAAAACCAAAAUAACAUACACACAAACUAAUACAAUCACACACACAGCCAUCCUAAUGGUGGCCGACAGUGACAUGUGUGGCAGCCACCACCAACGGCUUUUUCCUUGAACUCCUGCCAAACAGCAAACCAUACACGACCAGCACCAUAAGCCGAAGAUUCUUACACUUGCACCUUGCUUGAAGAACGAACCAACACCCUCCUGUGGUGAGCGGCAAUGGUGGUGAGUGAAACAACCGGCAGCAGCAUCAGCAAACGGCGGUAAUGGCCAGCCCCUCCCUUCUCUCGACAUCCCACUGCCAAUCUUCCCCAUCAGUCACGAUAGAAGUAGCUAUGACCGAUGACAACGGGCUUCUUCCGGUUCCCGGUCCAGCAGCCACGAUGGGAAGGGCGACGACGCAUCCCGGUGGUGAUUUGAUGGCAGAACGAAGACACAACUCCCGCAUGGUGGUUCUCCGACUGUGAAACGGGAACGAAAGGUAUGAUGGCGACACAGCGGCGCUACUGGCGACGACCGAUCUCACCAAAAACAACUGGAGAAGGAGAAGGAGUAGAAGGCGACCUUCCUGUGGUCGCUUGUUGAUCGGAACAAGGUGGUGAUGGGUGACGCCGACAUUGGAGAUAGGUGAGGUUAGAGUGGCGGCUGGAGGAUGAGAGCAUUUAGGGUUGUCGGGUGAAUGGGAGGCAAGGAUGAUGACGGGUUUAAGUCCCGUCUCCAACUCCAAACUUAAUCCUAUUUUGGCACUUUCAGUCCCUCCUUGUCCUUCUUUCUUCAAAUUCAAUCCAGAAAUUACCAUUCCCACCCUGCCUCCUAAAAUCCUUAUAAAAUAAAUCCGAUAUUUACUUUUCAACCCUUGCUUCCAUAAUUUCUUUUAUAUUAAGCCCCCCCAGAGAUUCAAACAUCAUCAUUAGGCUUCCCGAAACCAACACUCCACCAAUUAUUAAAUAACAUAUAAUAAUAAUACAAAUUGCUUCUCAGGUUCCAGGUUCAUUAUUUAAUUAUCUUAUUUUAAACGGGAUGUUACAACUCUCCCUCACUUAAAUUUGAUUUUGUCCUCGAAAUCGUUUCUUCUCAUUCCUUACAUGCCAAACAACUUGAACUACAAUCCCAAGCCUAACCCUAGCCUUUCCAAGGCAACCGAAACCAACCCUAACAGGGUUUUAAAACCCGAAAAUGGACGAAUUCCCCGCAUUAUGAUCACAUUACUCAAUCUGAAAUCUGAAGUCUUGAGACGGUUUGACUCCUUGACAGACCGCCCACACUGAAUCAUUGUUGAAUCCAUUGCACUUAACUCUCAACUGACUACUCACUUCUGAUAACCUGAGGUUCCCAUUAGAGGACAGAGCCACAAACUAGCUUUCCCUGCAAUACACUUAUACUUGACAGAAAAUUCAUCCGGAAUAUCUGAUUCCUGCCCGGUUGCUGAACCAACGAGCGAUCUUACAGUCGCUCCACACGAUUCCUGACGGAAACUCUUACUAGUAAUAACUGCCCUAGCUAUAUCGCCACUCAUGGCUCCAUCAAUCCUUUUUGGUCCAUCCGAUCAUAAUAGCCUGACAAUCUGUCAUCAUCGAAUCAAUUUCGAUAAUUGAAUACUACUAUAAUAACUAUAGUCUUACAUCAUGCCCAGUCUGCUUGCCUCUCAUCUAACUAUUCAACUUCUGAUAGUUGGGGUUCCAACAUCUAGAUACUUCAUACACAUGAAGACUCAAUUCAUCAAUACCGCCUUAAACACGGAAACUGUCUGAACACUAAUCUGCCUGAAGCAGUAUGCUACUAUAUGGCUACUUUCCAAAAUCGACCGAGACCUAUCUGAUCUCAAUUCGUUCACCAAUCCUCUGAAGUACUGGGUUCCAACCCGGUCGCGGAGCUAAAGGACUCCCACAUAGUUACCUCACACGACUUCCAAACAAAAUCCUUCCCUGGAACUAGUUGCCACUAGUUAUCAUGCCACUGCGACUCUAACAACCCCCUGAUCCAACCGAUCGGAUCCAUGCAUCGAAUCCCAUCAUUACCAAAUCCAUGGCUAAAAGCGAUUGCUACAUGACCAAUGGUGGCCUUACAUCAUAAGCAACCUUAAGCAAUCCAUUACUUCCUUGGUCUCAUAACUAUAGUAACGUCCCUACAGUUUUAUCAUUGGCUUAACCAGGUCUAAUCCCUCUGGGGAAACCCAAACCAAUCUGUGGAUUUCCAUAUUCUCACUGCUACAACCGAACUGGUGGUUACUACUGUCCCUUCCGCGUCCCAGCAACGCGCUCAUAAUAUAUACCAACCUAGUGAAUGUUGCGACUACACCUACAGACUUACAUCACUCUAGCACUAUUUGCUAACCUGGUGAAUGCGACAGCUACACCCGCAUAAUUACGACACUUCCCAUACUACAUGAUCGCUAGUGAAUGUUACGGCUACCCCCGCAGUCUUACAACACUUUCCAUACUACCUGAUCGCUAGUGAAUGCUACAGCAACCCCCGUAGUCUUACAACACUUUCCAUAACGGUCGAACAUGCACUCGACCUAACACACCACUGAACUUAACUCAUGGCUAGAAUCCCAACCUGAUUUCCCAAGUUCUGCUAUCAAGCACCGAGAAGACGCGAUUUCCAUGCUAGGGAGUUUUACCGAACUCCCAACUCACACAACACUCAAACCAAGCAGCCACUAGGGUUCUCUUCCUUCCUAAAAACGAUGUGAAACUUACCCCAGUUUCAAAAUCGAUCCUGCUUCUGCGUUCCAGGACGAUUCUCCCCCACUUAGAUUCAACUAAGUCUUCACAAUACAUGAAAAUUUGAGAGUUCCCAAUCCAUCUUACUUUCCAAUGAUCGAUCUAAUGACAACUAGGCCUUUCUAAAUAGUACUCCUUUACUAGCCAACCCCGAAUGAUCACACGCUUCUAAUAACUAGAUGAACACUUCCUGAAUCCCAGGGAAACCAUCAGUCUCUAAAGCUUGACUGAUCCCACUCCCAAAUCUUGAAGUCCAAAAGGUAGAUGCUCCAACUAGUGUCUCAACAACGAGCUACUUCCAUUGGCGCUUUCUUCUGUCAAUCAAUAACGGUUACUAAGGCACUGAAUCUUGACAAUGCUGAAUAACCAUCGUGUGGGACCCUGUCCGCAGAGCUUCCAUAUAAUACCCUUCUUCCCGAAGUGCUCCAAAAAAUAUCCCACUCUCGGCUCUAGAAAUCAUAUCAUUCAGGACCUCGUACCCUGACUCACUCACCAGCUCGAUCAUCCACAGCUGAACUGCAGUAGCUGAAACCAUAUUUGCCCAAAACUAGCCACAAACUACUCCCAAGACAUAGUCUCAGAUCCCAAGAAGUGCAAUAGAUCACACAAUAAAUCCUUACCAUCUGAUACAAGAGAUCUAAGGUGAAUCGGAUCUUAUCUCCUAUGGGCCGGAAAGGUAAUUGCGUACAACUCAUAAUAUUUCUCAUGCCACAUCGACCCACCUGAGCUCACCAACACUGAAAUAUUGUCGCCAACCCCUGCGACUAACUGACCCGAGCUGGAACACAACCUGAUCCUAGGGUCCCAAGUCUACUCACUCCUUCGAGCUUGAAAACUAAAAGGGCACAAUCCUUGCCCUAUAAAACGACAUUCCAAUCCACCAAUUAACCAUUCUACUUCCAACUGCAAAACCCCAACUGAACAUAAUCAUCACUCCUUUCCAGAGUCCUCACGACUCACAUUCCGACCUCAAGCAAAACCCCUGAAGCCUCAAAUCUAGAAACUCAUGUGCAAGACUCACCUGCUCAACUUGCUGAAUGUAACGAGUACAGAAUAUCUCCCUAGUCCCAAGUAACUGUAGCCCUCUGCUCAUCAAAAUAUGUCCCAGUAACGAGUCUCGGUACUGGAAAGCUCGACCAGCUCCUUCCCCUGCCGACGUUACAGCUAUUGAAGCUGUUGCGGUAGGAGUCUCAGCAAUGGCUACAUAACGCUCGUCAAAAUACUCAACCAUGGCGGCCUAAAUACACCUAAACAUCUCCGGUAAUUGUCCAUGGACAAAACUCGAUAACCUCCUCCCGGAUGAUCUCACUAACACGGUCCUCUGACAAUGUUGGCCUAUCCUGGCUGCCAGCUCCCGAUCCUAACCUGGAUCCGAUCAAGACGUCUCGUAAUCACCAUUCUGGUAAGACACCAGAGAGGUCUCUAAUAACCCAUAUAAUGACAAAGAUCCAAUCCCUAACCAAACCCUAGGGGUUGUGACUUCCUUGCUAUGCGUAUGGGUCCUGUGCUUUCGGUAGUACGGGCCCAUACUACCUUCCACACCUACCCAUAUUUGUCUCAAGUAUCAUCACAACGCCCUAACAAUAUACAUAAUCAUAGCGAGUGCUCAAUCCUCACUCCUAGAGGAAUGCUAAAUAUCACAUAAUUGGCCUCCCGACAUCACUCAACCCAUCCAUCCAUGACACUUCCACCAACUUUGCAGCACUAGUGUAUGCUAGCAUACAUAACGCUGAACCCCAUAGACUUUCGAAUAUCCAAUCCUACCCUAAGCUCCCAAUCAAACAAGAACAGAACAUAAGGCCAAAUCAAACAUUCUCAGGCUAUAAGAUCUUAAUUAUGUAUAACCGUGAUGCAUACACUAAGCAACUACAGUAAUGAUGUCAAUAUCAUGUAAAGGAAACCAUAGACUAGCAGGCAUCAUGUAAUCAGGCAAUUCUAUCAUGUAAUUCCUGAAGAUCCCUAGCCUAGUACUAGCAUGUUGUUCUAACAUAUCACAUAAUCAAAUAAAUAUAUCGUAUCUUGGGGUCUACUUACUAGCUCCGGCUGAUCGUACACCCUGCAUCCUCCUUUACUUAUUUUGAAAACCAUUUUAGAAAUCAUUUUGAAAACAUUUCCUUGAUUUGAGACUAGAGUCACACGAGUGUUUCUCCAAUUCACUCAAACCAAGGCUCUGAUACCAACUUGUAACACCCAUAAAAUUCAAGCCAAUUUAAAAAAAAUUUAAACAUUUAAAACCAUUAAAUUGUUACAGUAUACUUUCAAAAUAAUUUAAACAUCAGAGUAUCCACAGAAUCAAUCGUGAAAAUAUAAGGAGGUGCACGAUCACACCUUCGCCUUCCCGCGAUCAUCAGAAUACCUGAAACAAUAAUCGAUAAAUGUAAGCUCGAAGGCUUAGUGAGUUACUCCCAAAAUACCAACACCAAACAAUCAUAAUCAUAUCAUAUAACAUAUAAGCAACAACAUGCAUAAUGAGCCAUCAGUGUGACUGGACCGUCCCGGUCCUCAAUCUAUCUGGACUGCUCUCCGAGCCUUCGGCACGUCUGGACCGCCCUCCUCGGGGCCUUCAGCCUAUCUGGACCGCUCGUUGGGCCUUUGGCCUGACUAGAUUUUCCCGGGCCUGCAGUCUACCCGGUCCACCCAGGGUGUCUUGGCCUACUGCACACAGCAGGACCUGCCUCAACCUUUUCCCCAAACCAACAAACAUGUGCACAUAUGUAUAAACAACUAAACAUGCAGAUCUAACAGAUCACUAACAUGACAACCAUCCUAUAACAAGGAUACCGAUCUGACCGAUCUCUAGCAUAACAACCAUCCUAAACUAGGAUGAAAUCUAGCAUAGCAAUAACAUAGCAACCAUCCUAAACUAGGACGUAAUCUAACAUAGCAACCAUCCUAAACCAAGAUGAAAUCUAGCAUAACAAUAACAUAGGAACCAUCCUAAACCAGGACGAAAUCUAACAGAUCACAACAGCAUACAAACAUACUAUAACCAGAAUAACAAUCUAAAGGGUCGGCCUUGGUGCCUUAGACCCUGUCGAUAUAAUGAAGAGAACUCACCUGACAUUGUUGAAGUCCCGCAGAUAAAACUCCGGCUGCUGGUUGACAGAUUCUCGAACUGUCAACAACAAACAAUACCCGAUUAAUAAUUGGGUUCCAAGCCCAAAGUCCAACUCAUACUUCAAAGGCCCAAAAGUCCAACUAUGGCUCAAAGCCCAACAUAUGGCCCAAUUUUCCAAAUUGGUCCCAAGCCCUUUACAUGACCAUAUUCUAAAGGCCCAACCAUUUAGUCCAGUCCAAACAUUUUUCAUUUCUAAUGGCCCAAUAUCUCAUAAUCAUAAAGGCCCAAUUAUGGCCCAUCUAUGGCCCAAUUUUCCAAAUUGGGCCCAAGUCCUCACAUUGGCCUUAUCCUAAAGCCCAUCUAAUUACUUUGUUCCAUUUACUUGUUCUUGGAUGGCCCACCAAUAGUCCAAUCGCCAAAGCCCAAUAGGAAGGCCUAAUUCAAAGGCCGAGUGAGAUUAGGGCUUUCACAUGAAAUGAUAAUUAGGAUUAAGUGUUUCUUACUUAUCCCAUUAAGGACUUAAUCCAUCAAGGACUAAUCCAUUAAGUCCCUCACUUUACUAAAAAGUCAUAUGGUGUGAUUGGGCUUAAUACAUAAUUCCACUCCAAUGGCCCAAAUGUGGGUCCUGAUAAGUCCAAGCCUAUAAUCUCAAAAUUAGGGUUUUAUCGUCAUUAGUGUUUCCAACCCAAAUACUAGUCCAUUUAUCAAUUUGUUGGGAUUUUAGGUCCAUUAGGGCUUUAUUGGGCGUAUUAGACCCACUAGAAUAUCAUUAAGACCAUUAGGGUUUUAUUGGUCCCAUUUGGGCUUACAAGGCCCAUUAGGGUUUCAAGCACCCCAAACGAAUCAAACUCAACAAGGUAAACACACCGCCACCCGACACGACGGCCAGUGGCUGCAGNNNNNNNGGCCAGUGGCUGCAGCCACCACCCUAAGGUGGUGGUUUUCAAUUUCUUUUCAUUAUUUUU
rnacentral:lncRNA from 1 species